rnacentral:rRNA from 1 species
AACAGGAUUAGAUACCCUGGUAGUCCACGCCGUAAACGAUGAGUGCUAGGUGUUGGGGGUUUCCGCCCUCUGUGCCGAAGGUAACCCAAUAAGCACUCCGCCUGGGGAGUACGGCCGCAAGGCUGAAACUCAAAGGAAUUGACGGGGGCCCGCACAAGCGGUGGAGCAUGUGGUUUAAUUCGAAGCAACGCGAAGAACCUUACCAGGUCUUGACAUCCCGCUGAUCGGUGUAGAGAUAUGCCUUUCCUUCGGGACAGCGGUGACAGGUGGUGCAUGGUUGUCGUCAGCUCGUGUCGUGAGAUGUUGGGUUCAGUCCCGCAACGAGCGCAACCCUUGUCGUCAGUUGCCAGCACGUAGAGGUGGGCACUCUGGCGAGACGGCCGGUGAAAGCCGGAGGAAGGUGGGGAUGACGUCAAAUCAUCAUGCCCCUUAUGUCCUGGGCUACACACGUGCUACAAUGGCCGGUACAACGGGUAGCGAACCCGCGAGGGGGAGCCAAUCCAAAAAACCGGUCUCAGUUCGGAUCGCAGGCUGCAACUCGCCUGCGUGAAGCUGGAAUCGCUAGUAAUCGCGGAUCAGCAUGCCGCGGUGAAUCCGUUCCCGGGCCUUGUACACACCGCCCGUCACACCACGAGAGUCUGCAACACCCGAAGUCGGUGAGGUAACCUUCGGGAACCAGCCGCCGAAGGUGGGGCAGAUGAUUGGGGUGAAGUCGUAACAAGGUAACC